rnacentral:tRNA from 1 species
AGUCUUAUAUUCAAUAAUGAUAUUAAAUUGCAAAUUUAGAGGUGAUUGAUA